AUCGGUAAUCAUCUGUCUUGCGAAAGUUUUCAUCAUUCACUUUCGAUUUACCAGCUAAACGUAUUCAUUAAUGACAAAGGUUUAAAACCUAUUUAUAGCAGUAGCUCAUACUGAGCUCUUAAUGCUGGUUCAUUCACCACGCGGCCUAUUUCAUUUUAUUGAGUAAGCACGAUGACAUUUCGGUUUACCAACAGUGCGAGUUUUUUUUCGGUGUUUCCCUUUCUUAAGGUAUAAAUGGUUGAAUAGUCUACUUCUAUGAUUAAAAACGAGUUUCAACCUACCGCUGCAUAUCAUAAAGCCUAGAGACGGUGGUUAUUACUUGCACACGGAAUCACAAUGAGUUGGGGUAACAGCAAUUCGGGAAACAACACUUGGGGAAACAGCGACUCGGGAAACAGCGUCUGGGGAUGGAAAAUCUUCUCCCGGAAAUAACAAUGCCGCCGAAGGUACGCAUAGGUCAGACUGCAUAGCCGGAUCUGGCGGCUGGGGAAGCAAAGGGUGGAAUAGCUCCUAUUACCAGUCGAACUGUUCCGGAUGCAAUCACAAACGUGCAGCGGCGCCGUGGGGUGGAAGUAGGGAAAAUGGCGUUUUGAAUCUGCUUGAAGCCGUCGGUGUUUUUAAAGUGGCGAAAAAGAGUAUCUGGGACUGAUACAAAGACACGUGCAAACUUAAAGCAUGAUGAUCAUAGAGUUAUGCGAUUCUCGUUCUGAUUGUUUGUGAACGCACAAUGGUUUCUGAUGUUUCGAGUCGUUGUGCUUCCCUAAGAGAGAGGUGUGACGCAGAUUCCCACACAGCCUUUUGGUUUCUAAUCGAUGGCAAGGUUUCUAGUACAUGUAUUAUCCUAUUCGAUUGCAAACUACCAGAAAAAUAGGAUUUCAUAUGCUAUUCACAUAGCUUGGACAAAAGAAAGCGCAAAAUCAUUGAACGGAAUCCCAUAUAACUGUUUUUUUUUCUUAUCGACGGUUAAGGUAAUAUUGUCGAAUUUGAUUGCAAAAUACCAGAUUAUAUAAUGGACAUAUGAUCUAACAUGAUAGACAUAAAAUAUAGCGUAACGUUAGUUCCUGGAUUAAACUUGUUUUUCUAAAAUGUGAGUAUAUAUUUAUUAUUACCCUAUUAUAACAUUGUGAUACUGUUAUAUUCUUUUUUAGUGGAAACCAUACUUGCAAUUUAAUUGUGCAAUAUUUAAUAUUAACAUGGACACUGAUAUUACUGUGAUGUAUAAAUGUAUCUCUUUAGAUCAUAAAUUCGCAUACAUUCAUUUUACUCACAUUUAAAAAAGGCUUUUUUGGCACUUUUUGUUCAGUUUUUACUGUUGUUUUCCUCCUUGCAUCACUUUUAAAAAGAUUAUCUAUAAGGUUUAAACGAACACAUUUGUACUUUUAGUGGACUUAAAGACGUAUAUCCAUAUUUUAUUUACACUUAGAAAACAAGAAACGUUAAAUAAGAUAGUACAAUGAUACAAACGAUUUGAAACAUGAAAUUUUGUAACAUUUGGAAAGUCUUUCAAAGUCCCAAUAUUUUCAGUAAAAAAUGUUUACAAAGGAUUUAAAUGCUUUAAAUUGUGUAAAGUAUCAAAACAGCCGUAUCAUUGAGUCACGAGUUAAAUGCAGGUUUUUAGUUAAUUAUAUUAUUGUGAUAUGUUCAUAUUUUAUGUGAAAUGUACUUCUAAGCAAUACGAUUUUUUUGUGAAGCUUUUUGCUUCCUCUACACACUUACCUAUUUAAAUCGUGUUCGAGUUCUCUGUUAUCUAGUUUAAGAUGUUACUGAAUAAAUGUAUUUAUAUUGUA